rnacentral:rRNA from 1 species
GUGAGGAAUAUUGGUCAAUGGACGGAAGUCUGAACCAGCCAUGCCGCGUGCAGGAAUAAGGUCCUAUGGAUUGUAAACUGCUUUUAUUCGGGAAUAAACCUCUUUACGUGUAGGGAGCUGAAGGUACCGAAGGAAUAAGCACCGGCUAACUCCGUGCCAGCAGCCGCGGUAAUACGGAGGGUGCAAGCGUUAUCCGGAAUCAUUGGGUUUAAAGGGUCCGCAGGCGGGCUAUCAAGUCAGAGGUGAAAUCCCACAGCUUAACUGUGGAACUGCCUUUGAAACUGAUGGUCUUGAAUUAAGUGGGCGUUGGCGGAAUAUGACAUGUAGCGGUGAACUGCAUAGAUAUGUCAUGGAACACCGAAAGCGAAGGCAGCUAACGAUACUUAUAUUGACGCUCAUGGACGAAAGCGUGGGUAGCGAACAGGAUUAGAUACCCGUGUAGUCC